rnacentral:rRNA from 1 species
UACAGAGGUCUCAAGCGUUUGUUCGGAUUCAUUGGGCGUAAAGGGUGCGUAGGUGGCGUAGUAAGUCGGGUGUGAAAUUUCGGAGCUUAACUCCGAAACUGCAUUCGAUACUGCUGUGCUUGAGGACUGGAGAGGAGACUGGAAUUUACGGUGUAGCGGUGAAAUGCGUAGAUAUCGUAAGGAAGACCAGUGGCGAAGGCGGGUCUCUGGACAGUUCCUGACGCUGAGGCACGAAGGUCAGGGGAGCAAACGGG